AUCUUUUAAAGCAUGGCGGCCACUAUACCAUAAAAAGUCAAAAGGGGCAAAAAAGUAAAAGAAAAUCAUUAAAUUGAAUUUGUGGAGGCUAAAGAACAUAUGAUGUAGUAACCAACAAAAAUCAGUAAUAGCAUCUAUAAUAAUUAAACAUAAAAUACAAAAAAGUAACAUGUAUCAAAAAAAAAAUAUAUGUUUCUUCUUUUCUAUAAGUGGUAGAUAUUAUUUAUUCCUCAUGUAGAUGCAAACAAAUCAGCUAAAUUAGAAGCCUAUUAAUUUGUUGAAGCAUAACAAAUAGUUGCUUUGGGGAAUCUCUUCCUCUAAUAAUGACAAGAGUUAAUACCAAAUGCAUUCACAUAGUUUAGUACUCAUGUCUCAUAGAAACUAUGUCCACCACUCCAUGACGAAUGUAGCUUGUGCAAGAGUCCCUCUUGUCAAUCAAAGCUACGACAAAUGAAUUUACGAUGAUUAGGGGUGCACACGGUUCUUAAGGGUCCUGAAUUGAGUCGAACAACCGUACCAAAUCGAUCAGUACCAUACUGAACUUAACUUAUUUUACUGUUUUGAUUCGAUUUUAGUUCUUCACUAAGAAUCAAACCGAAACCAUACAAGACCCAUGUCAAACCAAGAACCAGUAAUGAUAACAUUAAUACUAUAAGCACUCUCACAAACUUGUACUCAUGUCUCAAAGAAACUAUGGCCACCAAUCCAUGAGGAAUGUAGCAUGUGCAAAAGUCCCUCCAGUAAAUCAAGGCUACUACAAAUGAAUUUACACUUAUUAGGAGCAUGCAAGGUUCUUAGAGGUCUCAAAUUGAGCCGAAGAACCAUACCAAUCAAAAAUAUACAAAACUAAACUUAUUUUAUUAUUUUAGUUUGGUUCUGGUUAUUAACUAAGAAUUUACUGGAGUCGUACUUGACCCUAACCGAAUUGGAACCAAAUCGAAAAUAGAAAAUCGAUUUUAUACAUAUGUUUUUCUAUGAUUUUUUUAGAUAUUUUUACUCAAACCAACUAACAGCAACUUAAAGUGGAAUGGCAAGAACCUAUGCUGCAAAAAGACCAAAUCUGG
rnacentral:misc_RNA from 1 species